AACAUCAUACAAGCGCCAGACCUUUAAUUUUUAGAGCUUUACAAUAUAAAUAAAUAACACCUGAUUUUUGAAAAAAGUUGUUUCAUUAAUCACAUAAAAUUUAUAUUAGUUCUGAAAAUAAAGGUGACGAGGAGUUAAGAGUUAUCGAAUAUUUCGGCGGGUACUCUUAGGGUGGUCACAACCCCAGCAGUAAACAAAUCCUGUAAGCAAUUACAGAUACAAAAUUACUGCAGUGACAAUC
rnacentral:ncRNA from 2 species